GAGACAUUCAGAGGUCCUGAUGACCUCUAUACUGUCAGCAGCAGAGUGACUGUGGAGAAGAGACACAGCAACAAGUUCACCUGCAGAGUCCAGCAGAACAACAUCAACCAGAGCAGAGAGACAUGGAUUCAUGUUCCAGAUGAUUUUGUCACAGUUGCUGCCACCAUCGGUUUGAUUGCUGGCAUCAUGUUUAUUGUUGCAGUCGUCGUCUUUGUGUGGAAAUGGAGACAAAUCAAACUGAAGAAGAAGAAGCACCACGGCGAUGAAGAAAAAGUGAAAACUAGAGAGAAGACGAACAGCUCUGGAGAAAUGAUGCUUUAACAGAGUCUCUGAUUGAAAGAGAAGCAGCAGAAAAUGUGAAAAUGCAGAGAAAUCCCUUGAGUGAAACAACAGGAUCUGACAUUCAGACAGAAGAUGAAACACACCAGAGUCAAACUAGUAAUCAUCUGAUUCAAACACAAGAAGAGACGGAGACACAACAUGGUCCUGGAGGAGCAGAACUACAGGCUUUAGUGGAUAGACAAAGACAAACAUACCAACCUCUGGAGACCAUGAGUGAUUCAGAUAAAGAUCAAGAAGACACAGCAACCAGUGAAAAUAGUCCAGUAGAAAGAGAUGUGAACAAUGGAGGUGAUAAGACUGAAGCUGUAAGAGAAAACACAAACAGUGAAAUGGAUGAAGAAACAAAACAAGAGCAGCUGAUAGAAGUAAAAAAUACAGAAAAUAAUCUACAGGCAGAAGAAGAAAAGAAUCUGCAGGAAGUUCAGCCUUGUCUGGACAAAGAGAUGGAAAAACUGAAGUCAAAGCUGCAGCCUAAAGAACAAGAUGAGAGACAAUAUGAAAAACGAGUUACGAGACUGAUGGGAAACAAGACAGAACAAGAGAAGCAGAUUAAAGAUCUCAAAGAGCAGCUGGAAGAAGUGGAGAGAAAACUUCAGUCAAAGAAUGAAAAUGAAGAAACACAGAUAGAAGAAGAUGAGAAAGAUCUGCAGAGGAAGAAAGAAGAACUUCAGAAACAGCUGAAGAGACUAGAGACGGCUCUGGAAAGAUCUAAUAAAGUAGUGGAUACUAUGACACAGAGGAAAAUGAAAGCAACUAAAGAAAAAGAGGAGACUAUUAGAAAAUUAGAGAUGAAGAACAGGAAUGAAAAUC
ensembl:lncRNA